GUUUUAAUAGUUUAAAAAAAACAUUGGUCUUGUAAGCCAAAAAUAAAUAAAAUUUUAAAACU
rnacentral:tRNA from 1 species